AAAUCUCACAAAAUGAAACAUUUUUUGUUUCAAAUUUUGUGGACUUGGAUUUGCGAUCCUUGGAUUGAUUGCUAAUCUGAAAUGAAUUUCAUGAAGCUUAACUUGCUUUGAAUCUUUUGCUUAAUAGUUUUGCUUUGUCAAAUCUUUUGCAAUUGAUUUCAAAAGCCCAAAAAGUGGAUUGAUUUUUACGAAAUCUAAAAUCUCAUU
rnacentral:misc_RNA from 1 species